rnacentral:rRNA from 1 species
AAUCAACGCUGGCGGCGUGCCUCAGACAUGCAAGUCGAACGAGAACCUCCCUUCGGGGGAGGAGACAGUGGCGCACGGGUGAGUAACACGUGGGUAAUUUACCUUUGGGUGGGGAACAACAGCCGGAAACGGCUGCUAAUACCGCAUAAUGCAGCGGCUCGACAUCGAGACAGUUGUUAAAGCAGGGGAUCGCAAGACCUCGCGCCUGAAGAGAAGCCUGCGGCGGAUAGCUAGUUGGUAGGGUAAUGGCCUACCAAGGCGACGAUCUGUAACCGGCCUGAGAGGGCGGUCGGUCACACUGACACUGACAUACGGGUCAGACUCCUACGGGAGGCAGCAGUCGGGAAUUUUGGGCAAUGGGCGAAAGCCUGACCCAGCAACGCCGCGUGAAGGAUGAAGC